rnacentral:rRNA from 1 species
UACGAAGGGGGCUAGCGUUGCUCGGAAUCACUGGGCGUAAAGGGUGCGUAGGCGGGUCUUUAAGUCAGGGGUGAAAUCCUGGAGCUCAACUCCAGAACUGCCUUUGAUACUGAGGAUCUUGAGUCCGGGAGAGGUGAGUGGAACUGCGAGUGUAGAGGUGAAAAUUCGUAGAUAUUCGCAAGAACACCAGUGGCGAAGGCGGCUCACUGGCCCGGUACUGACGCUGAGGUGCGAAAGCGUGGGAGCGAA